rnacentral:rRNA from 1 species
UGGGGAAUUUUGCGCAAUGGGCGAAAGCCUGACGCAGCAACGCCGCGUGAGUGAUGAAGGCCUUCGGGUCGUAAAGCUCUGUCAGAGGGGAAGAACCACCUGAGGGGUAAUAUCCUUCAGGCCUGACGGUACCCUCAAAGGAAGCACCGGCUAACUCCGUGCCAGCAGCCGCGGUAAUACGGAGGGUGCAAGCGUGGUUCGGAAUUAUUGGGCGUAAAGCGCGUGUAGGCGGUCUGUUAAGUCUGAUGUGAAAGCCCCGGGCUCAACCCGGGAAGUGCAUGUGAAACUUGCAGACUUGAGUACGGGAGAGGGUAGUGGAAUUCCGAGUGGAGGGGUGAAAUCCGUAGAUAUUCGGAGGAACACCGGUGGCGAAGGCGGCUACCUGGACCGAUACUGACGCUGAGACGCGAAAGCGUGGGGAGCAAACAG